UUGGUCGUAGAGCAGUUGAGCGUGUUGCGCCUUCGGGCACUGCCGCAGGCGGUCUGCCUCCGGCAUCCGUUACGUCGCCCGAUCCGGCGCGACCGAC
rnacentral:tRNA from 1 species